GGGGCUGUAGCGCAGCUGGUAGCGCACCUGCAUGGCAUGCAGGGGGUCAGGGGUUCAAAUCCCCUUAGCUCCAC
rnacentral:tRNA from 1 species